UACGUAGGGGGCAAGCGUUGUCCGGAUUUAUUGGGCGUAAAGAGUGUGUAGGCGGCCUGACAGGUCUGCUGUGAAAACUCGAGGCUCAACCUCGAGAUGUCGGCGGAAACCGUCUGGCUAGAGUCCGGAAGAGGAGAGUGGAAUUCCUGGUGUAGCGGUGAAAUGCGCAGAUAUCAGGAAGAACACCUAUGGCGAAGGCAGCUCUCUGGGACGGUACUGACGCUGAGACGCGAAAGCGUGGGGAGCGAACAGG
rnacentral:rRNA from 1 species